rnacentral:rRNA from 1 species
GGGUUGUGAGGUUAAGCGACUAAGCGUACACGGUGGAUGCCCUGGCAGUCAGAGGCGAUGAAGGGCGUGCUAAUCUGCGAUAAGCGCCGGUAAGGUGAUAUGAACCGUUAUAACCGGCGAUACCCGAAUGGGGAAACCCAGUGUGAUUCGUCACACUAUCAUUAACUGAAUCCAUAGGUUAAUGAGGCGAACCGGGGGAACUGAAACAUCUAAGUACCCCGAGGAAAAGAAAUCAACCGAGAUUCCCCCAGUAGCGGCGAGCGAACGGGGAGGAGCCCAGAGCCUGAAUCAGCAUGUGUGUUAGUGGAAGCGUCUGGAAAGGCGCGCGAUACAGGGUGACAGCCCCGUACACAAAAGCGCAUGUGCUGUGAGCUCGAUGAGUAGGGCGGGACACGUGGUAUCCUGUCUGAAUAUGGGGGGACCAUCCUCCAAGGCUAAAUACUCCUGACUGACCGAUAGUGAACCAGUACCGUGAGGGAAAGGCGAAAAGAACCCCGGCGAGGGGAGUGAAAAAGAACCUGAAACCGUGUACGUACAAGCAGUGGGAGCCCCACCACUAAGCCAGUGGUGAACUCCACAUACGCAUCCUUUGCUGAGGAUACGGUUAACGGAGCACAAGCGACGUUCAACCGCAAAACAAGCAGAGGGGGCUUAGUGGUGGGGUGACUGCGUACCUUUUGUAUAAUGGGUCAGCGACUUAUAUUCU